rnacentral:rRNA from 1 species
GUACACAAAAAUGCACAUAUUGUGAGCUCGAUGAGUAGGGCGGGACACGUGGUAUCCUGUCUGAAUAUGGGGGGACCAUCCUCCAAGGCUAAAUACUCCUGACUGACCGAUAGUGAACCAGUACCGUGAGGGAAAGGCGAAAAGAACCCCGGCGAGGGGAGUGAAAAAGAACCUGAAACCGUGUACGUACAAGCAGUGGGAGCCUCUUUAUGGGGUGACUGCGUACCUUUUGUAUAAUGGGUCAGCGACUUAUAUUCUGUAGCAAGGUUAACCGAAUAGGGGAGCCGAAGGGAAACCGAGUCUUAACUGGGCGUUAAGUUGCAGGGUAUAGACCCGAAACCCGGUGAUCUAGCCAUGGGCAGGUUGAAGGUUGGGUAACACUAACUGGAGGACCGAACCGACUAAUGUUGAAAAAUUAGCGGAUGACUUGUGGCUGGGGGUGAAAGGCCAAUCAAACCGGGAGAUAGCUGGUUCUCCCCGAAAGCUAUUUAGGUAGCGCCUCGUGAAUUCAUCUCCGGGGGUAGAGCACUGUUUCGGCAAGGGGGUCAUCCCGACUUACCAACCCGAUGCAAACUGCGAAUACCGGAGAAUGUUAUCACGGGAGACACACGGCGGGUGCUAACGUCCGUCGUGAAGAGGGAAACAACCCAGACCGCCAGCUAAGGUCCCAAAGUCAUGGUUAAGUGGGAAACGAUGUGGGAAGGCCCAGACAGCCAGGAUGUUGGCUUAGAAGCAGCCAUCAUUUAAAGAAAGCGUAAUAGCUCACUGGUCGAGUCGGCCUGCGCGGAAGAUGUAACGGGGCUAAACCAUGCACCGAAGCUGCGGCAGCGACACUAUGUGUUGUUGGGUAGGGGAGCGUUCUGUAAGCCUGUGAAGGUGGCCUGUGAGGGUUGCUGGAGGUAUCAGAAGUGCGAAUGCUGACAUAAGUAACGAUAAAGCGGGUGAAAAGCCCGCUCGCCGGAAGACCAAGGGUUCCUGUCCAACGUUAAUCGGGGCAGGGUGAGUCGACCCCUAAGGCGAGGCCGAAAGGCGUAGUCGAUGGGAAACAGGUUAAUAUUCCUGUACUUGGUGUUACUGCGAAGGGGGGACGGAGAAGGCUAUGUUGGCCGGGCGACGGUUGUCCCGGUUUAAGCGUGUAGGCUGGUUUUCCAGGCAAAUCCGGAAAACCAAGGCUGAGGCGUGAUGACGAGGCACUACGGUGCUGAAGCGACAAAUGCCCUGCUUCCAGGAAAAGCCUCUAAGCAUCAGGUAACAUCAAAUCGUACCCCAAACCGACACAGGUGGUCAGGUAGAGAAUACCAAGGCGCUUGAGAGAACUCGGGUGAAGGAACUAGGCAAAAUGGUGCCGUAACUUCGGGAGAAGGCACGCUGAUAUGUAGGUGAAGCGACUUGCUCGUGGAGCUGAAAUCAGUCGAAGAUACCAGCUGGCUGCAACUGUUUAUUAAAAACACAGCACUGUGCAAACACGAAAGUGGACGUAUACGGUGUGACGCCUGCCCGGUGCCGGAAGGUUAAUUGAUGGGGUUAGCGGUAACGCGAAGCUCUUGAUCGAAGCCCCGGUAAACGGCGGCCGUAACUAUAACGGUCCUAAGGUAGCGAAAUUCCUUGUCGGGUAAGUUCCGACCUGCACGAAUGGCGUAAUGAUGGCCAGGCUGUCUCCACCCGAGACUCAGUGAAAUUGAACUCGCUGUGAAGAUGCAGUGUACCCGCGGCAAGACGGAAAGACCCCGUGAACCUUUACUAUAGCUUGACACUGAACAUUGAGCCUUGAUGUGUAGGAUAGGUGGGAGGCUUUGAAGUGUGGACGCCAGUCUGCAUGGAGCCGACCUUGAAAUACCACCCUUUAAUGUUUGAUGUUCUAACGUUGGCCCGUAAUCCGGGUUGCGGACAGUGUCUGGU